UACGUAGGGCGCAAGCGUUGUCCGGAAUUACUGGGCGUAAAGCGUGCGCAGGCGGUUUUGUAAGUCAGAUGUGAAAUCCCCGGGCUUAACCUGGGAACUGCGUUUGAAACUACAAGGCUAGAGUGUGGCAGAGGGGGGUGGAAUUCCACGUGUAGCAGCGAAAUGCGUAGAUAUCAAGAGGAACACCAGUGGCGAAGGCGAGCCCCUGGACGAUACCUGACACUGAGGCACGAAAGCCAAGGGAGCAAACAGG
rnacentral:rRNA from 1 species